rnacentral:lncRNA from 1 species
AGGAAAUGAUGGGAGGAACCUUUGGUGAAGAAGGCAAAAUACUACUGAACCUUGAGGUUUUGUGUUCAGCCCCAGGACAGACAUUGAAGAUGGAAGGCUCGGGCUGAUGUCAACAGGUUUCCCAGGGGUCUCCAUCCCCUCCAGCAUUCAUGCAAAGCCAAUUCCAGCUACAGACUGCAGCUUGGGGUUGUCUUCUGCAGCUGUCUACAACAGGGACUUGUCAGGGGUAAAAUGAAAAAUUUUAUCAUGAUUUCUAAUUUUUCUCGAUGUCUCAGUCAUUGAAAGUUUCACAUUCAGGGCCAUUUGGGUGUCAUGAAAACAUCAGGUUUAAAGAGGAAAGAUGAUGGAUCGUGAAUGUUUAUGAGGAGAUGGUAGCAAUUAUAAUGAUGGUAAUGAAGAGUGAAGCGAGAAGAUCAGCCUGUGGGGAUGCUGCUCCUGAGUCUAGGCUGCUGGAGGAAAGUGCUCCAGUGGGCUUGGGCAUUACCAUUGUACCAAGAUGGAUGAAGCUUCUUUUCCAACAGCCCCUCCAGAUUCAUUAUUUUUUUAGAAAUAUGCCUUGUGGAACCAGGUUUGCAAGUUUUACAUUGAGUGAACAGCUAUUUCUUAUGUUAAGUUAUUUUAGCUGAAGAAUAGAGAAUUGUUGAAAUAAAUGGCUAGAGAAUUCGAAUUGUAUUCAUUCUUGACAUUGGAACUGACAAAUAGCUUCAUUCCCCACUGAAAUGGAAAGCUUAUUACUCUGAGAUACAGGCGGGUUUGAGGGAGGGGGGCAUCUGAGUUUUAUUUUACUGUAACUCUUGUAGAUGC